rnacentral:rRNA from 1 species
CAAUAGCGUAUAUUAAAGUUGUUGCAGUUAAAAAGCUCGUAGUCGGAUUUCGGGUCGGGCCGAGCGGUCUGCCGAUGGGUAUGCACUGUUUGGCGCGGCCUUCUUUCCGGAGACCGCGGCUACUCUUAACUGAGCGGGCGUGGGAGACGGAUCGUUUACUUUGAAAAAUCAGAGUGUUUCUAGCAGGCAGCUCGCUCUUGCAUAGGUUAGCAUGGAAUAAUUAAGAUAGGACCUCGGUUCUAUUUUGUUUGGUUUCGUUAGAGCCUGAGGUAAUGAAGUUAAUAGGGAUAGGUUGGGGGCAUUCGUAUUUAACUGUCAGAGGU